AAAAAUUGUGAAACCUCUCCUUCUCUUUUCUCACAAACCGUCCUUCUCUCCCUCUCACACAAAGCUUCAUUGAUUUUUCAUUUCUCACCCAUUCAAGCUAGGAAUUGUCUUGUUGGAUCAAGGAACUUGCAAGGAUAUCACUACUCAUAAGGGCGCACGAAUUGUUGCAUAACUCGGAAUCGUUUGUAAUUGGAAGUUUCGCCGAGACGAUGGAGCGCCAUCUGAGACCGUAGGCCGUGUGGACGGCGAGGACUUCGUGGACUAUCCCAGAGUGUAGAGAGUAGCGCUUGUUAGGCUACAUUUUGGUAGGCUUAGGGCCUAGGCUAUAUUUUGGGAUGACUGUAUGUUUUAUACAUUAUACUCAGACAUGUUAGUGCCGUUGGGCCUUGUGAUAUAAUCGGUUCAUGACUCGUGUCUUUUUGGUUGAUGAACUUGCUAUAUCCGUUGUAUGUAAAUUAUUCAGGUACACACUUUGCUUCGAGGAAUCCCUGUAAUAUAAUGUGUUGAUGUUAUAUUUA